GGUUUGGUGGUAAACUUGGUUUGGUGGUAAACUUGGUGGUAAACUUGGUACAAGUCUCAUUACAUUUGAAUUGAAUGUUUGGUUUGGUGGUAAACUUCGGCCAGGGCAAUCGCCAGAGCCAUGGCCCAUGGUGAUACGGUGAUCGGCUGAUCGCUAGUAAGACAGGAAAAAUUGAAGGUGAAUCGCAAGUGGGAGCAUCCGCUUCAGCCUGUAGUGUUUGGCUUGACUUUGCCGUCCGAAUCCUAUACCCAUAAUAGCACUUACAAUCAUUUUUUUUAAAAAAAAGAAAGACAUCGUCCGUCUCUGUCACUAUUAAAAAACGACGCCUCAGCUAUUUUGGUUGCGGAAGUUGUGUGUUUCUCCUUGUCAAAUUGUUACUGUCUCCUCUCUCCGUCGUCUCUGUUUUUUCAGUCAAAUUGAUUUGAUUUGAUUUGAUUGGAGAGAAAGUGCAGUGAUGAAGAGGAACAGAAAUGGAGAAAUCUGGGACUUCGAGCAUGAAAUUGCUGUGGCGGGUAACAGGCAGGUUAUUCUAGGAGUGGAUGGUGGAACUACAUCAACUGUCUGUAUAUGCAUGCCAAUCUUACCUUUCUCCAAUCCUCUUCCUGACCCUCUUCCUGUCCUUGCCCGUGCCGUCGCCGGUUGCUCCAACCACAAUAGUGUUGGUGAAACCGCUGCUAGAGAGACAUUGGAGCAAGUUAUGGCAGAUGCCCUUUCGAAAUCGGGUUUCAAUCGCUCCGCAGUUCAAGCUGUUUGUCUAGCAGUUUCAGGUGUCAACCACCCAACUGAUGAGCAAAGAAUUUUAGAUUGGCUUAGGGAUAUAUUCCCCACUCAUGUGAAGUUAUACGUUCAAAAUGAUGCCGUGGCAGCUUUGGCAAGUGGAACAAUGGGAAAGCUUCAUGGCUGUGUUUUAAUUGCUGGUACAGGGACUAUUGCUUAUGGAUUUACUGAAGAUGGCAGGGAAGCUCGGGCUGCAGGUGCAGGACCCAUCUUAGGUGAUUGGGGGAGUGGAUAUGGAAUAGCUGCACAAGCAUUAGCAGCAGUUAUUAGGGCUCAUGAUGGUCGUGGUCCUCAAACACUUCUUACAUCCAGUAUUUUACAUGCUCUUGGUCUUUGUUCUCCUGAUGAACUUAUUGGGUGGACAUAUGCAGAUCCAUCUUGGGCUCGUAUUGCAGCUCUUGUUCCAGUUAUUGUAUCUUGUGCAGAGGCAGGUGACGAAGAAGCAAAUCGGAUCUUGCAAUAUUCGGUUGAAGAGUUGGCUUUAAGUGUGAAAGCUGUUGUUCAACGACUGGGCUUAUGUGGCAUAGAUGGAAAUGCUUCAUUUCCCCUUGUCAUGGUCGGUGGUGUUCUUGAAGCAAAUAAGAGGUGGGAUAUAGGGAAAGAGGUAGUAAACUGCAUCUCCAGGGACUAUCCUGGGGCUCUUCUGAUUCGACCCAAGGUAGAGCCUGCAGUGGGGGCAGCAUUAUCAGGCUGGAAUUUCCUCAUGAAGGAAACUAAUAGGGAAGGCUGCAAAGAAUGACAAUUAGUUACCAAAGAAUUCAAUUGUAUAGAAGAAAGUGCAUAAAUUGGCAGUUAUUAGAAGUUGAAAGGAUAGAGGUGAAUUGAGUAAGAUGUUAGAAUCCAUGAGGUGAAGAUGUAUGAUGUGGGCUUACUUGGGCUUGGACCAGCCAAUGCUGAAAGAUUCUAAGUUGUCUUGUCGCAACAUGAUGGAGAUGGCAUAUCUUGCGACACAUUUAUAGGCCUAAUGCAUAAAUUUAUUUCUGGACUUUACGCUAUUUGUCUCGUGGCACUCUAAAGUUUAGAAGGACCUAUCAUGACCCUAUACUUUCAAAUUUCAGUAACAACUAUAUUUUUCUUCCAAAUGAAAUAACUUUAUAAGAGUUUAAUUAUGACCUUGUAGUUUUACAUUUUAUAUAGGCGAGUGGCAUAGUUAUUGAAAUGUGCAAGUAAAUAGAUUUCUUCCAAAUUUGGAAGUGUUAUAAGGCAAAUCAUAUAAACUUUAAAGGUAUGUAUAUAUGCUCUUAACUUAUAAAUUUGCUUUUGUACUUUUAA